UUUGAAAUACACGCUUUUCAU
rnacentral:snRNA from 1 species